rnacentral:tRNA from 1 species
GGCUCGUUGGUCUAGGGGUAUGAUUCUCGCUUCGUGAGCGAGAGGUCCCGGGUUCAAUUCCCGGACGAGCCC